CCUACGGGGAGCAGCAGUGGGGAAUAUUGGACAAUGGGCGAAAGCCUGAUCCAGCCAUGCCGCGUGUGUGAAGAAGGCCUUCGGGUUGUAAAGCACUUUCAGUGGGGAAGAAAGCCUUGGGGCUAAUACCCUCGAGGAAGGACAUCACCCACAGAAGAAGCACCGGCUAACUCCGUGCCAGCAGCCGCGGUAAUACGGAGGGUGCGAGCGUUAAUCGGAAUUACUGGGCGUAAAGCGCGCGUAGGCGGUCUGAUAAGCCGGUUGUGAAAGCCCCGGGCUCAACCUGGGAACGGCAUCCGGAACUGUCAGGCUAGAGUGCAGGAGAGGAAGGUAGAAUUCCCGGUGUAGCGGUGAAAUGCGUAGAGAUCGGGAGGAAUACCAGUGGGGAAGGCGGCCUUCUGGACUGACACUGACGCUGAGGUGCGAAAGCGUGGGUAGCAAACAGGAUUAGAUACCCUAGUAGUC
rnacentral:rRNA from 1 species